rnacentral:rRNA from 1 species
AGUGAACGCUGGCGGUAGGCCUAACACAUGCAAGUCGAACGGCAGCACAGUAAGAGCUUGCUCUUACGGGUGGCGAGUGGCGGACGGGUGAGGAAUACAUCGGAAUCUACUUUUUCGUGGGGGAUAACGUAGGGAAACUUACGCUAAUACCGCAUACGACCUACGGGUGAAAGCAGGGGAUCUUCGGACCUUGCGCGAUUGAAUGAGCCGAUGUCGGAUUAGCUAGUUGGCGGGGUAAAGGCCCACCAAGGCGACGAUCCGUAGCUGGUCUGAGAGGAUGAUCGGCCACACUGGAACUGAGACACGGUCCAGACUCCUACGGGAGGCAGCAGUGGGGAAUAUUGGACAAUGGACGAAAGCCUGAUCCAGCCAUACCGCGUGGGUGAAGAAGGCCUUCGGGUUGUAAAGCCCUUUUGUUGGGAAAGAAAAGCAGCAGGUUAAUACCCCGCUGUUCUGACGGUACCCAAAGAAUAAGCACCGGCUAACUUCGUG